CCGUUGUCUCGAUAAGGACGGCUGACUAAAUCGCGCAUGAUUAAAUGUGCAAGUGGAUUUUAUUACGGGAGAAUUAGUGCCAGACCUUUUUGAUAAAGUUUCAUCACAUUUUAAGGAGUGAUGGCUGGAACUCGAAGCGUAGACAGCGUUGUUAGUAUCUGGGACGCAGUGAUAUAUUAUCUCCUCCAAACUCGAAGAUUGUUAUCCUACUCGGCGGAACCACUAGAGAGUCAGUGUAUUCUUCACCGGAAGUUGAAUUUGGAGCCAAACCAAAGUCAUCUAUUUCCCCAUUGUCUCCGUUGUUGAAAAAAUCAUUUCGAGACAUCAUCUUCCGUCAUCCUAGAGCCAAAUUCCAAUCCUAUGAGUACGAUGAACCGACAUCCUCAAAAAAUAACCAGGAGCAGCAGCGAGUACUUAAACAGGCGCCGACCAAGACCAAAACGGAACUGAUGAAAGAGUUUGUGAAAGUUGUUCACGGCCUGACUGGACUCGCAAGUAGGCAAAAUUCCCAACUCUCCGAUCAUCAUUUGCAAGAUUCGAAAAUUCUGAGCCCGAGUUUCAAGAAUGACGUGGAACCACAGCUAGGAAAUAUUGGAGUUGGGAAUGCUAUACGUGAGCUUGGAGAUCCUGCAAAUACAGGUUUCUUUGGUGCACUUGGACCGACUACUGACUUUCAGGGACUGCGAAAGAGAGAAGCAGCGGUCACUGAUUACGGUUAUAAAGAACGUCUCUCCCGAAUGACCCGCAAAUGAUGAUGUCCAUGCAUCAUUAGAAACAUAUCAAUGCAACGCAAAGAAGCAUAUGCGUCUCAGAUCAAAUGACAACUAUUCAGAGAUAUGAAGGAUCCUGAUAAAAAAAGUCAAUUGCUAUUACAAUUCAAAGCUAAAUCAAUGUUUCAAAUGAGACCAAAAUGAAUUUAGAUUUGAAUUCAA